rnacentral:rRNA from 1 species
CCGCGGUAAUACAGAGGGUGCAAGCGUUAAUCGGAAUUACUGGGCGUAAAGCGCGCGUAGGUGGUUCGUUAAGUUGGAUGUGAAAUCCCCGGGCUCAACCUGGGAACUGCAUUCAAAACUGACGAGCUAGAGUAUGGUAGAGGGUGGUGGAAUUUCCUGUGUAGCGGUGAAAUGCGUAGAUAUAGGAAGGAACACCAGUGGCGAAGGCGACCACCUGGACUGAUACUGACACUGAGGUGCGAAAGCGUGGGGAGCAAACAGGAUUA